ACGAGACCAGCUAAAGCCCAACUCGGGCAACGGGACAAUUUUCUCUCUGACGAGCUUGUUCCUAAAUAUUAUACUUCAAGCCAAAGUACAGGUCUUCUUUAGAUGACUUGGGGGCCAUGAAAGAAUGGAAAAUACUCACAAGGAUCACCGACGGAAGGACUCAUUUCUCUUCAGCAGGUUUCAUCCUCUCCAGUGGUCAGACACGUUUCACGGUGGAGUUGAGGUAAUUCUGUCAGUCAAAGGAGGUGUUUGCAGGCCAGGAGAACCCCAGCAUAACACAGCCCACAGGCACAAGCAGCUGAACACUCCUCAGGAGGCCAAGCUCACGAUGUGUCUUAAAGAGGUUCCCAGAGGCCUCCUCAUCCGCCGCGUCGUACAGCCUAAGAGGCGCGCUGGAUAGUUUUCAGCCAACCCCGCACUGACAGAGCCAGAGAACAAUCCUCCCUUUGGGUCCUAUAGCAGUGUUGAUGGCCGCUGAGGACCGAGAUACGAUU